rnacentral:rRNA from 1 species
GACGGAAGGUGCAAGCGUUGCUCGGAAUCACUGGGCGUAAAGGGUGCGUAGGCGGCUUGGUAAGUUGGGUGUGAAAGCCCCGGGCUCAGCCCGGGAAGGGCACUCGAAACUGCCGAGCUGGAGUGCCGGAGGGGAGAGUGGAAUUCCUGGUGUAGCGGUGAAAUGCGUAGAUAUCGUAAGGAAGACCAGUGGCGAAGGCGGGUCUCUGGACAGUUCCUGACGCUGAGGCACGAAGGCCAGGGGAGCAAACGGG